UGCACUCACUACUGUAAGUCGCUCUGGAUAAGAACAUCUGCUAAAUGACUUAAG
rfam:Salmo salar isolate Sally breed double haploid chromosome ssa17, whole genome shotgun sequence.